rnacentral:rRNA from 1 species
UACGUAGGGGGCGAGCGUUGUCCGGAUUUAUUGGGCGUAAAGAGCUCGUAGGCGGUUCGAUAAGUCGGACGUGAAAUCUCCACGCUCAACGUGGAGGGGCCGUUCGAUACUGUCGUGACUCGAGUCCGGUAGGGGAGUGUGGAAUUCCCGGUGUAGCGAUGAAAUGCGCAGAGAUCGGGAGGAACACCCGUAGCGAAGGCGGCACUCUGGGCCGGUACUGACGCUGAGGAGCGAAAGCGUGGGGAGCGAACAGG